rnacentral:rRNA from 1 species
GAGUAUACCAAGAUGGGUUCCGGCCACAAUUCCGGAAAGUGCCACUGACCGUAUUUUAGAGGAAGGAGAAGUCGUAACAAGGUUUCUGUAGGUGAACCUGCAGAAGGAUCAUUUGCACAUGUGUAGCCAACUGCAUGCUAAUGAUAUUGUGGGCAACUGUAAGCAUGUGUUGCAAUGGACUUGCACUUGCCCUGGGCAGCAUGAUUUGUUUUUCAAGCAUGUGUGCUGUAGCGUGUGAUGUGUUGUGUAAACUGUUUGCAUUUCUCUAGUUGCUGCAACACUUAUGUUUUGCAAGGAAUGUCUUAGCUCAAUAAAUGAUGAAGAAUGCAGCAACAUGCAAUAUGCAUUGCGAAUUGCAGAAUUCCGUGAGCUAACAGAUGUUUGAAUGUUACUUGUACCUUUGGGAUAUUCUUGAAGGUUUGCUUGGUUUAAUGCAAAGUAGCUUUCAUAUACAGUUAAUGCUGAUUAGCAUUGUUGUGAACAAUAAAGGUCAAUGUUUUGCAUUGAACCUGGAUGUCAUACAGUUGUUUACAACCUAAACAUGGUUUCGUGGGGCAGACCUGUUUCGUCAUUUGAUGGUUGAUAUUUGUAAAUGUGCACAACUGGGACAAGCUGAAGACUUGCAGAUGCUAAGCGUGAAGUGAAGCACAUAAACCUGCUGAAUUUAAGCAUAUAAGUAAGUGGUGGAAAUUAAACCAAU